CAUUUUUCAGAGAAGGCUAAAGGCUAAAGGCUAAAGGCAGCACUACACGGACUUUACCACCAUAAACUUUGCAGCCCUUGGGCAGCGGAGCGAGUUUUCACGGUGUAUUCAGUGCUAUUCAACAAACUUGGUUUCGAAAGAAGUAAAUUCAAAUCUACUGCAUCCGUCGAACUCUCUGUUUUCUUGGGUCUGAGGGACUGCUACUGUAGCUGCUGUCAAGACAACUGCAUCCAGAGGAGUAACAGCUACAGUAUUUAAUGUUGGGAUUUGGAACUAGGCUAACUCUGGCCUGCCUAACACCUCGACCUCGGUUCGGUGUUAGUGAACCAAUGCAGGGAUGGAAGUGGACCGGAAACCGCUCCCAGCGCAGGAAGUUAACCACAGCGCAAGGCAUUCUGGGCCGAAACAGCCAAAAGAAAUGCGUGAGUCUUGCACUACAGAGAGAAAUAGCUUGUGUACCAUCGCUAAAAUUUAACGAUACUCCAUUUCUGUUUACAUUUUGUGGAGAAGGAAGUUUGCACUGGUCUUCAUGUUAUUUCCUUCAGUGAUUCUUGGUGCAGCGCCCCCACAGCAGGAUGCAUGGGAUGGAGCUUCCGUUGGGCAGCAUGGCCUUGUUGUCCAGGUCCUGUUUCC